rnacentral:rRNA from 1 species
AGCGAACGCUGGCGGCAGGCUUAACACAUGCAAGUCGAGCGGGCAUCCUUGUGGUGUCAGCGGCAGACGGGUGAGUAACGCGUGGGAACGUGCCCUUCGGUUCGGAAUAACUCAGGGAAACUUGAGCUAAUACCGGAUACGUGCGAGAGCAGAAAGGUUUAUCUGCCGAAGGAUCGGCCCGCGUCUGAUUAGCUAGUUGGUGAGGUUAUGGCUCACCAAGGCGACGAUCAGUAGCUGGUCUGAGAGGAUGAUCAGCCACACUGGGACUGAGACACGGCCCAGACUCCUACGGGAGGCAGCAGUGGGGAAUAUUGGACAAUGGGGGCAACCCUGAUCCAGCCAUGCCGCGUGAGUGAUGACGGCCUUAGGGUUGUAAAGCUCUUUUCUCCGGGACGAUAAUGACGGUACCGGAGGAAUAAGCCCCGGCCAACUUCGUG